UUACAUCCUUUUGUCAAAGUUAUGUACUAUUUUUUUGGUUGUUAAAACAUCAUUUUGGGUUGUCCUCUCGACGUGAACACAUCUAACACAUCUAAAACAUCAUUUUCGUGUACUCUCAAAUUAUUACUUCUCGUUCGGUUCGAAAAUUUUUACGGAUUCAUCAUGUGCUGCGGACCUUGUGGACCCUGCUGUGGGCCCUGCUGCGGGCCAUGCGGACCGUGCUGCGCACCCUGCGGCUUCGGAUGUGGACCCUCUUUUGGACCCAAUGUCUGCGGACCCUGCUGUGCCUGUGGACCCUGUGGCGGCUGCUACUGUGGAUACCCUUGCUGCUAGAACCACGCACUUGGGCGGUACCAUCCCCCUCAAUUCAGUUGGCAAUCCGCAAUCGAGAUAGAGGUCCUUAGCCCAAGCUGACCACCUCACAUCCUAAUAUCCGUGAACCACAAUGAAGUAUUUUGAGAGCAAAUAAAUAUGUAGUAACGCCCAACCAAA